rnacentral:rRNA from 1 species
GGCUUGGAGCCGGUAUCAGGCUUAUGCCAAUGACGCCACGUCACGCCACACCCACACGGGCCUGCAGCAGUAACCAACAUUAGGCCAUUGGCGAAAGCCAGACCUAGUUAAAAUCAAGAAGGUUGGUAAAAUUCGUGCCAGCGACCGCGGUUACACGAAUGACCUAAAAUAACGGCAACGGCGUAAACAUGACUAGAAUUUAGGGAGAAGAUUAAGACCUGCUGUAAAAUGCCAAGUCAAAAAAAAUCCCACAGCCCUAAGACUUUUGACUCAUGAAAGCCAAGAAACAAACUAGGAUUAGAUACCCUACUAUGCUUGGCAGAAACACGGCUAUAGCCCGCCAGAUAAUUACGAGUGUAAACUUAAAAUUCAAAGGACUUGACGGUGUCCCACAUACAACCUAGAGGAGCCUGUCCUAUAAUCGAUAAUCCACGAUAAACCCGACCACUUUUUGCCAAACAAUCUAUAUACCGCCGUCGAAAGUUUACCUUUUGAGAGUAAAAGAGUAAACAAAGGAGCCUCCACUAAUAUGACAGGUCAAGGUGUAGUAAAUAAAGUGGCUAGAGAUGGGCUACACUUCCUUUAUAAAGGAGAAACGAACAGCCUAAUGAAACCACGCUAGAAGGCGGAUUUAGUAGUAAAGUGGGAUUAGAAAGCCCGCUUGAACAUAUUGCCCUGGGACGCGUACACACCGCCCGUCACCCCUGUCAAU